rnacentral:rRNA from 1 species
UGGGGAAUUUUGGACAAUGGGCGAAAGCCUGAUCCAGCAAUGCCGCGUGUGUGAAGAAGGCCUUCGGGUUGUAAAGCACUUUUGUCCGGAAAGAAAUCCUUGGCUCUAAUACAGUCGGGGGAUGACGGUACCGGAAGAAUAAGCACCGGCUAACUACGUGCCAGCAGCCGCGGUAAUACGUAGGGUGCAAGCGUUAAUCGGAAUUACUGGGCGUAAAGCGUGCGCAGGCGGUUUGCUAAGACCGAUGUGAAAUCCCCGGGCUCAACCUGGGAACUGCAUUGGUGACUGGCAGGCUAGAGUAUGGCAGAGGGGGGUAGAAUUCCACGUGUAGCAGUGAAAUGCGUAGAGAUGUGGAGGAAUACCGAUGGCGAAGGCAGCCCCCUGGGCCAAUACUGACGCUCAUGCACGAAAGCGUGGGGAGCAAACAGGAUUNGAUACCCUGGUAGUCCACGCCCUAAACGAUGUCAACUAGUUGUUGGGGAUUCAUUUCCUUAGUAACGUAGCUAACGCGUGAAGUUGACCGCCUGGGGAGUACGGUCGCAAGAUUAAAACUUAAAGGAAUUGACGGGGUCAUAGCUGUUUCCU